UACGGAGGGAGCUAGCGUUGUUCGGAAUUACUGGGCGUAAAGCGCGCGUAGGCGGCUUUGUAAGUUAGAGGUGAAAGCCCGGGGCUCAACCCCGGAAUUGCCUUUAAGACUGCAUCGCUUGAAUCCGGGAGAGGUGAGUGGAAUUCCGAGUGUAGAGGUGAAAUUCGUAGAUAUCGGGAGGAACACCAGUAGCGAAGGCGGCUCGCUGGGCCACACCUGACGCUGAGACGCGAAAGCUAGGGGAGCGAACAGG
rnacentral:rRNA from 1 species